GAGGAAUAAAAUGGGAAUGAGUCAUGAAGAAACUUCUUCCUGUAACGGUAACACGAGAGCACAGAGAUGCACUUUAUUUGGCUUAGUUACUGGCAUGGCACUGCCAAAAUAAAAGCAGCCAACCACACAAGCCAGUGUCAAAGCACUUAUGACCUUCGCCCAGCAAAGGUUCACGGGUGAACCUCUGCAGCAUCCUCGCUGGCUCGGCAGGAGGCUGCUCCGUGCCAUGAAGCUCUCCUACCUCCAUCCUCCUGGCCCAGAGCUGGCACGAAUUACGUGCACUGCUUGGGAUGCAACAAGUAAUGGCUGCCUGGAGGAAUUCACCUCUUGCUACAGGAGCGUCCAGACAUGAAAUUGCACCAGAUUACAGAAAAAGAGUGCUGACCCAAGAAUCCCAUGUGGUUGAGUCAGGCUGCUCCAGUAGGGAUGGGGAGUAAUUGAUGUACCGGAGAUGAUGACCUUUGCUGGGCUGAGACUGCAUCUCUCUGUUAUUCCUUCCUUUUUUUUUUUUCUUGAAGUCCUAUCUGCAUGCGGUUUGUUUUCAUCCAGCCCGAGAUGGAUGGUGCACGGAUUUAAUGAGGUCGUGUUUUCCCACCAGUUCCAUUUGUAGCCAUUUAAUGUUCAGCUCUGAGUAGUAGAUUGAGUUAAAGGCUAUUUAAAAGUCUAUGAUGCAGACAA